rnacentral:rRNA from 1 species
UACGUAGGGCGCGAGCGUUGUCCGGAAUUAUUGGGCGUAAAGAGCUCGUAGGCGGCCUGUUGCGUCCGCUGUGAAAUCCCGGGGCUCAACCCUGGGCGUGCAGUGGAUACGGGCAGGCUGGAGGCAGGCAGGGGAGAACGGAAUUCCCGGUGUAGCGGUGAAAUGCGUAGAUAUCGGAAGGAACACCUGUGGCGAAAGCGGCUCACUGGACCAUUACUGACGCUGAGGCACGAAAGCUAGGGGAGCAAACAGG